rnacentral:miRNA from 1 species
CUUGUGUGCAUUGUCCAUAUGCAUGUGCACAUGUGUGUAUACACAUACACACACACACACACACACACACACACACAUACCACAUACACA